rnacentral:rRNA from 1 species
AUUGAACGCUGGCGGAAUGCUUUACACAUGCAAGUCGAACGGCAGCACGGGGGCAACCCUGGUGGCGAGUGGCGAACGGGUGAGUAAUACAUCGGAACGUGCCCAGUCGUGGGGGAUAACGUAGCGAAAGUUACGCUAAUACCGCAUACGAUCUACGGAUGAAAGCGGGGGACCGUAAGGCCUCGCGCGAUUGGAGCGGCCGAUGUCAGAUUAGGUAGUUGGUGAGGUAAAGGCUCACCAAGCCGACGAUCUGUAGCUGGUCUGAGAGGACGACCAGCCACACUGGGACUGAGACACGGCCCAGACUCCUACGGGAGGCAGCAGUGGGGAAUUUUGGACAAUGGGCGCAAGCCUGAUCCAGCCAUUCCGCGUGCAGGACGAAGGCCUUCGGGUUGUAAACUGCUUUUGUACGGAACGAAAAGGCUCUGGUUAAUACCUGGGGCUCAUGACGGUACCGUAAGAAUAAGCACCGGCUAACUACGUG